UAAGCAACAGUAGGCGGAGAGUGGUC
rnacentral:piRNA from 1 species